rnacentral:lncRNA from 1 species
GUCCAGUUGACGUAAUGGUAAAUUACAUUUUAAGUGACUCAUUCCUGGGCAAGUUUGCAAUGUGAUAAUCAGAUUUAAAAGAAACUACUUGGCUUUCUUGUGUGGGUGUACUCACAAUUUUUUAAAAGUAUGAACCACAGUUAACUGGUGGUCUCAGGGGUAGUGAAACACUCACUUUUUUUUUUUAAUGGUUUAGUUGACAUACUUCAGAUAUUGACCAUCCUGUGUUAGUGAUUUUCGAAGUGACUCAGAUUAGCCAUGGUUUGUGUUGGCGUAACAAAACUGUUAAAUGAUUGUUGAUUAUAGUUUUAAGUGAAUUUGUCUCUCUUUUAUGAGGAACCCAGUGCAAGUCACUAAAUAUUGUCUAAUAGUGACAUCGGCAUAACACUUGUAAUAGCUAAGGUUAAUUGAGCUUCAAGAAUUGUUACCAUUAAA